GGCGACGUAGCCAAGUGGCAAGGCAGAGCUCUGCAAAAGCUCCAUCACCGGUUCAAAUCCGGUCGUCGCCU
rnacentral:tRNA from 1 species